rnacentral:rRNA from 1 species
GACGAACGCUGGCGGCGUGCCUAAUACAUGCAAGUAGAACGCACAGUUUAUACCGUAGCUUGCUACACCAUAGACUGUGAGUUGCGAACGGGUGAGUAACGCGUAGGUAACCUGCCUGGUAGCGGGGGAUAACUAUUGGAAACGAUAGCUAAUACCGCAUAAUAUUGAUUAUUGCAUGAUAAUUAAUUGAAAGGUGCAAUUGCACCACUACCAGAUGGACCUGCGUUGUAUUAGCUAGUAGGUGAGGUAACGGCUCACCUAGGCGACGAUACAUAGCCGACCUGAGAGGGUGAUCGGCCACACUGGGAGUGAGACACGGCCCAGACUCCUACGGGAGGCAGCAGUAGGGAAACGUCGGCAAUGGACGGAAGUCUGACCGAGAAACGCCGCGGGAGUGAAGAAGGUUUUCGGAUCGUAAAGCUCGGUUGUAAGAGAAGAACGGGUGUGAGAGUGGAAAGUUCACAAUGUGACGGUAUCUGAACAGAAAGGGACGGCUAACUACGUG